rnacentral:rRNA from 1 species
AGAGUUUGAUCAUGGCUCAGGAUGAACGCUAGCUACAGGCUUAACACAUGCAAGUCGAGGGGAAACGAUAUUGGAAGCUUGCUUCCGAUAGGCGUCGACCGGCGCACGGGUGAGUAACGCGUAUCCAACCUGCCCACCACUUGGGGAUAACCUUGCGAAAGUAAGACUAAUACCCAAUGAUAUCUCUAGAAGACAUCUGAAAGAGAUUAAAGAUUUAUCGGUGAUGGAUGGGGAUGCGUCUGAUUAGCUUGUUGGCGGGGUAACGGCCCACAAGGCGACGAUCAGUAGGGGUUCUGAGAGGAACGGUCCCCCANAUUGGAACUGAGACACGGUCCAAACUCCUACGGGAGGCA